GACGAACGCUGGCGGCGUGCCUAAUACAUGCAAGUUGAGCGCUGAAGGUUGGUACUUGUACCAACUGGAUGAGCAGCGAACGGGUGAGUAACGCGUGGGGAAUCUGCCUUUGAGCGGGGGACAACAUUUGGAAACGAAUGCUAAUACCGCAUAAAAACUUUAAACACAAGUUUUAAGUUUGAAAGAUGCAAUUGCAUCACUCAAAGAUGAUCCCGCGUUGUAUUAGCUAGUUGGUGAGGUAAAGGCUCACCAAGGCGAUGAUACAUAGCCGACCUGAGAGGGUGAUCGGCCACGAUGGGACUGAGACACGGCCCAAACUCCUACGGGAGGCAGCAGUAGGGAAUCUUCGGCAAUGGACGAAAGUCUGACCGAGCAACGCCGCGUGAGUGAAGAAGGUUUUCGGAUCGUAAAACUCUGUUGGUAGAGAAGAACGUUGGUGAGAGUGGAAAGCUCAUCAAGUGACGGUAACUACCCAGAAAGGGACGGCUAACUACGUG
rnacentral:rRNA from 1 species